UUUUUUGUUUCUUUAACCUGUUAGCCUCGUUUGUGAGGUGUCAGGUGAGGGAGUGAUGUGUCUGUGUCCACCUAUUCGAGGAGAGAGGGAGUGUCUUGUGCUAGCGGGGAGAAGGUGACGUAGGGGUGGCCGCCGCUCUGCUUGUGGGUGGGGACGAACCAGGUACCGCCGGCGGGAAGGGGUCGGCGACUAGUAGAUUACGGGGGGGGGGAAGGACGGCUACGCGGCCAGGUACCGUCGGCGGGAAUGGAGAGAAGUGCGUCGGGCCUAAGCGGCAGAUGCCGAAGGUGGAGCGAAGGGAAAAGGGGUAGCGAGAGGUCGGGGCGCUGCUUGGGCAAGCGGCGGUGGUCGGAUCAGGCGUCGGUGUCGAGGCGAGGCGGCGGUACCUACUCGAAACGGAGGUUGCCUAGCAGCCGUGGCUGGUGGCCCGUCGGAACCUCCCUAGGCUGUCUCCGAGGGGUGGAGCUGACGCCGACCUCCUCCGGUAGCUACGGAGGAUGAAGCGCGGCAGGGUCGUUGUUACUCGCGGCGGCGCAGGCAGGUACCCAUGGGGGACGAGUCGCAUGAAGCAUCUGCCAACUGUACUACCUACUCAUCAGAGGACUACUGCUUCUGGGAAUUGAUACUACAGUAGAUGAGAGUAAACUACAAGAUGUUCGUUAGAACGGGCCCUUGUUUUACGUGUAGUACCCCUUGAAUUCUCACCUCUUCUUUUUGGGUCAGGUCCGUCCACGCAACCGACUCCUGAACCAACCGUGGCUGCAGCAGCCGACGCCUUCCGCCGCUACCGGUUGUGAACGACCUGCCGCUUCCGCGUUGUCACCGAACCGUCGCGGCUGCAGAGUGACGUUACACGCAAACUUGCCGCUGUAGCUUCUUUCUGUAGCUCUAAUUGACCCUACCUUGACCAGUGUUUGACGUGUUCUCCUAUUAGACGUGUACCGCCGCUUGGACGCAACCGAUCUUCGAGCAGCCGCGCCCGUAGUAGGCGACGCGUACCGCCGCUACCGCGUCCUGUCCGACCCGCCGACGCUGCAUGCAGACCCACCCGUUUCCGUCCUUCUAGCUCAACUAAGGGCCUGCUUUACUUCUAGAGGGCCGACCGGAUUGGUGUGUACCGCCAGUUGGCGCUCCCUCUCUCUUACAAAGCGAUCUAACACUCGAAGUAUCAAACUCGAGGAUUUAAGUACUGGAUAGAACGUUCUAUUUUUUGAUCUUCUCACAAGGUUAUAGAGGGCUUCCUGUCGAGGUAUUCAUCGAUCGAACGGUACUACGUUGAGCAGCUGUUGGUGGAACGUUAGGCUCCGUUGGACAUAUAGAGCACGUAUAUCUAGUAGGCGGUUGCUCUCUCGAAGGGAAUAUCGAUCCCGAAGGUCGCAAACUCCGAGACACUAUACAAACUUUUGUUACCGGACUUCGGGCCGAAACGGGACAACUAGAGACGUCUAACGAGGGUGGCUUGGUACGAAGGAAGAGUGCCGGUGACGGGGCAGUUGUAACUAGAACUGUGUUGGAACCUAACCCCCGUAGGUAGAACGUGAGGCGCACUGAGAUGAACCAUGGUGAACGGAGAGGGAAAACAAUUGAUUGAGGUUGAGACUGUCUUUGAAUAAUUACUUUCGGCAACAUCGCACACCUCUAACUUUAUAUAGGAGUACUUAACGG
rnacentral:rRNA from 1 species